AGCCAGCUCCACAUGACUUCACCCAGUCACAACCGUACCGCCUCCCAAUUGCCAGGGCUAACCACUUCUGGUAAAACUCCAGUGUGACGGGCGGCGUUCAGCACCUCGGGAACGGGAUUCGCACAUGUUGAUCCGCGAUUCCGACUUCACGCAGAGUUGGCAGACCGCGGGUUCACGAUCGGGGUUUCUGGGAGAGCUGCCGGAAAGCUACCCUCGUCCCGACCAUUGUAUGACGUGUGAAGCCCUGUUCUAGCGGGCCAUGAAGGUUUAAUAAUACAGGGAGUGCUCUUUCGUAGCAACUAAUGACCAACGGGUUGCGCUCGUUGCGGGAUCUUAACCCAACAUCCACGACAGGCUGGCCAUGCAGCACUCUGUGUUCCGGCUUUCUUACUCGGGAUUCCAGACAUGUCAAGGGUAGGCAAUUUGCCGUACACACGAGGGUCCUCGUCACCAUGGACCAGCGCUCGAAGGCUAAGAAGUUGACACGUUUAGGCGGGAGCAAACAGGAUUAGAUACCCUGGUAGUCCACGCCCUAAACGAUGUCAACUAGCUGUUGGGGCCUUCGCCUUGCGGUAGCGCAGCUAACGCGUGAAGUUGACCGCCUGGGGAGUACGGUCGCAAGAUUAAAACUCAAAGGAAUUGACGGGGACCCGCACAAGCGGUGGAUGAUGUGAUUAAUUCGAUGCAACGCGAAAAACCUUACCUACCCUUGACAUGUCUGGAAUCCCGAAGAGAUUUGGGAGUGCUCGCAAGAUAGCCGGAACACAGGUGCUGCAUGGCUGUCGUCAGCUCGUGUCGUGAGAUGUUGGGUUAAGUCCCGCAACGAGCGCAACCCUUGUCAUUAGUUGCUACGAAAGGGCACUCUAUCGAGACUGCCAGACAAACUGGAGGAAGGUGGGGAUGACGUCAAGUCCUCAUGGCCCUUAUGGGUAGGGCUUCACACGUCAUACAAUGGUCGGGACAGAGGGUCGCCAACCCGCGAGGGGAGCCAAUCCCAGAAACCCGAUCGUAGUCCGGAUCGCAGUCUGCAACUCGACUGCGUGAAGUCGGAAUCGCUAGUAAUCGCGGAUCAGCAUGUCGCGGUGAAUACGUUCCCGGGUCUUGUACACACCGCCUGUCACACCCUCAUGGGAGUGGGUUUUACCAGAAGUAGUUAGCCUAACCGUAAGGAGGGCGAUUACCACGGUAGGAUUCAUGACUGGGGUGAAGUCGUAACAAGGUAG
rnacentral:misc_RNA from 1 species